GACCUGGUGGCGUAACUGGUAACGCGCGCAUUUGCAGUCGACUUCUCCGCAAUAUUACAGUUCUCGUUCAAUUCGAGGUCAGGUCG